GUGUUGUCAGCCAACGACCUACGGCUACCCCCUCUGAUUCCUUCUUGGAUAUAAGUAGUUUAAUUUUGUAAAUGUUCCCUCCAUUGUUAGAAUUGUACGUACUUGUCUCCACCAUCGUCCAUCGCCAAUUUCCUCCUAGUUUCAUCUUCUACAACUAAAAAGACUAAAAGAUGAAUAUUUUUUUGGUACAACUUUUGUUUCGUCCGUCUGCCUGCUCAACCCGCGUGCGACCAUGACCCCGUAUUAGGAAACAGCCAUGAUCAUUGCGAUCAUUGCUCUCCCUGACGCCCUCUCUCCAGCACAAUCGGGAUCGCGGGACAACUCCUCUCCCCAACCACGCAUGCGUCUCUACCUCCCUCCCCUCUCUUCCGAUGUGGUGGCACGGCCUCCCCCUGCGGCGCGCACAUCUCUCUCUCCCUCCUGAUGUGGUCGGGCAUGGUGGGUGCCCCCAGCGGGCUCGUGCAGCGGCAUCGGCGGCGCCCAGCCAUGGGGCUAGGGUUUCGCAGGGUGGCGGCGGCGGUAUCCAGCCGUGGGGCUUGUGGCGUGCGCCGGACGGAGCCAUGCAUGGGCGCCACCAGAAAUCCACGCCCGGCCAGGAGGGCUCGCUGCCCGGGCUCGCGGCCAGGCUCGCGGGGCGUGCAGCCAGGGGCGCGCGUCCGCCUCCACGCUGGCCAGGACGGAGGGCGCGCAGCUAGGGCUCGCGGCCGCCUCCAUGCCGGCCGCCUGACUCCACGCCCGGCUGCCAUCGCGUUGGUUCUGCCCUUAAAAAAUGUUUGAAGUAGUAUCUUGAGCAGAAUUUUUUUACAUUGAUGAGUUUAUGUUUUUCUCUCAUUUCAGUGUGAGCUAAAUCUUGGCCUUAUCAUUUUAGUACUAACCUAUUAGCUAAUGAUGAACUAUAUAUUAGCCCCUGAAUUCUUGCUUGCUUUGUGCUUUAGAUGGAAUUGAUUAAUAUCUGAUUUUCAGUUUUGUAAGCGCUUGCUGUGGAUGUGCGUUGCCUUGAUGCUAGGAUAGAAUUCUCUUUAUGACAUCUGAUUCUAUCUAUUUUUAGGCUAUCUAUUUUCAGAUUCUUGCAUGUGUUUCUCUCACGGUAGAAAUCGAAAGCAGUAAUCUGAUUGCUCUGAACUUUAUACUAUUUUUAUAUUAGAUUAUUGCAUGUGUUGAUGGAAUCAGUGGAUAGAUGAGUAGCAUUUACAGAGAGGGAUUUUGGUUUUAACAGCACCCCUAGAUAACAGAAUAAUUUUUCUUUCACGCGGCUUCUUGAUAUACUCUUUAGUUAUAGCCUGAUGAUGCCAUGAUGGUACUCCAAAUUUCUUUAUUGUUUACAUCAAGUUUGCAAAAAAAAAAUGAAGAUGCCUGAUUUCUUUAUUUGUCAGAUUGCUUCACUUAAUUUUUUUCCCAUUAGUUGUACUUAUAUCAUGCGUUAUUUUUUUAAGUUUGACAAGGAACUUAAUAAAGAGGUUGCUAUAGAAGCCGUUGAUCUGGAAGAAGCAUGAGUCCCUAACAUAAAUUUUACCAUGUGUCUGUAUCACAGUUUCUCAAGUGGUGUUCCAUUAUGAAUAAUAAUUAUUUACAUAGAGUAUUAAAGGAUCUGUCAUGGGGGAUAAAAGACCAACCUGCGCUGCGUUUGGCGACAUAUCAAACAUCGUCGGAUGAGCAAGUACAAGCAUUUUCUCCUUUUUCUGGUACAACUGAAACACUUGGCUUCCUAGUUCAUGCUAGAGUGUUUCGUUUUUGAAAUUUUACAUAGAAUUAUGUUUAUUGUUCUCUUUAUGCUGAAAAAUCAUUUCAUUCUCAUGUAAUGGGGAGUCUGCGAAUGCGAUCAGUAACCAAGGCCUUGAAUAUUUGUCUUCAAGUUCAACCAUUGUACUGGUUUGAUUGUUCUUGCAAAUAUGUAAUAAAUACUUUGCAAUAAUUCUGUUUCCUAACUGGCAUACUGAAGUACCAACAAUUAAUUAAUUAGCAGUCAACAGUAUACGCGGGUAA